GAUGAACGCUGGCGGCGUGCCUAAUACAUGCAAGUCGAGCGAACAGACGAGGAGCUUGCUCCUCUGACGUUAGCGGCGGACGGGUGAGUAACACGUGGAUAACCUACCUAUAAGACUGGGAUAACUUCGGGAAACCGGAGCUAAUACCGGAUAAUAUAUUGAACCGCAUGGUUCAAUAGUGAAAGACGGUUUUGCUGUCACUUAUAGAUGGAUCCGCGCCGCAUUAGCUAGUUGGUAAGGUAACGGCUUACCAAGGCAACGAUGCGUAGCCGACCUGAGAGGGGGGUGCGGCACACACGGACUUGGACACCGUCCCCAACCCCACCGGGGGGCCAAGGUUGGAAAUUUCCCCCAAUGGGCGAAACCCUGACGGGGCAACCCCGCGGGGGUGAUAAAGUUUUUCGGUCUGUAAAACCUUUUUUUUGGGGAAAACAAAAUGUUUAAGUAACCUUGCCCGUUUGACCGUACCCAAAUCAGAAACCCCCGCCAAACUCCGG
rnacentral:rRNA from 1 species